CCCUUAGAUGCCCGGGGCCGCACGCGCGCUACACUGAAGGAAUCAGCGUGGCUUUCUCCCUGACCCGAAAGGGUUGGGAAACCCGUUGAAUCUCCUUCGUGAUAGGGAUUGGGGCUUGAAAUUGUUCCCCAUGAACGAGGAAUUCCCAGUAAGCGCGAGUCAUAAGCUCGCGUUGAUUACGUCCCUGCCCUUUGUACACACCGCCCGUCGCUACUACCGAUUGAACGGUUUAGUGAGGGCCUCGGAUUGGUCUCGGCCCGCUCUUUACCGGGCGGCGCCGUUGGUCGAGAAGACGCUCGAGCUUGAUCGUUUAGAGGAAGUAAAAGUCGUAACA
rnacentral:rRNA from 1 species